rnacentral:tRNA from 1 species
GGCCUCGUAACUCAGCUGGUAGAGCAUACGCGUACAAAGCGUAGGCGGCGUCCAUGCGUGGGUUCGAAUCCCACCGAGGCUA